UCGGACGUGGUGCGCGGUGCACACCUGUUCGCAAUGAUGUCCUACAAUUCGGCGGAUUUGGAGACAGGAAGCCCGGGUUCGACUCCCGGCGUCCGAA